CCUGGCGGCACUAGCGCGGUGGUCCCACCCUGACCCCAUGCCGAACUCAGAAGUGAAACGCCGUAGCGCCGAUGGUAGUGUGGGGUCUCCCCAUGCGAGAGUAGGGAACUGCCAGGC
rnacentral:rRNA from 1 species